UACAGAGGGGGCAAGCGUUGUUCGGAAUUACUGGGCGUAAAGGGCGCGUAGGCGGCCUUCUAAGUCGAACGUGAAAUCCCCGGGCUCAACCCGGGAACUGCGUCCGAUACUGGAAGGCUUGAAUUCGGGAGAGGGAUGCGGAAUUCCAGGUGUAGCGGUGAAAUGCGUAGAUAUCUGGAGGAACACCGGUGGCGAAGGCGGCAUCCUGGACCGGCAUUGACGCUGAGGCGCGAAAGCCAGGGGAGCAAACAGG
rnacentral:rRNA from 1 species